AGUCCACAGUGUGAGAAUUCUGUUUCACUCUCAGCAAGAUUUUGACAUUUUGAAAUGAAGAAAUGAGAAAGAAAUCAAGUAGUAUGCUGUCCUACAAGGACACAUGCGACCUGAGACUACAGAGAAAACGCCAUGCAUCACAAGUCAGGUUAUCCGAAGUCAACAGUCUCCACGUUGACUUGCCUUUGUUAUUUCCCAACAUUCCGUAAGUCUUAUCUUUUUUUUUUUUUUUUUUUCCAUAAGUCUUAUCUAAAUGUUGCAGACUAGCCUUCACAGUGCAGGAGGAACAAGGUGUUUGACACUGUUGAGGGGACUC
rnacentral:lncRNA from 12 species